rnacentral:lncRNA from 1 species
GGGGUUGCCAAUGAUGGCGGUGGCACUGGAGAGGUUCCCAAAGGACGCAAAGAACCUCUGGGUCCAGGGGUAGACGAUCAGCAGCCUGGCCAGGGCUUCGGCCCCACAUUCGGCCACAUUGACCUUGCCCCAGAGGCCGGUGAUGAGCUGCUUCUCCUCAGCAGUCCAGUGCACCAUGGUGGCAGCUGAAGGGCUUGCUUUGGGCUUCCCUGAAC